rnacentral:rRNA from 1 species
GCGGAAAAGAAACCAACAGGGAUUGCCUCAGUAACGGCGAGUGAAGCGGCAACAGCUCAAAUUUGAAAUCUGGAGCCUUCGGCUUCCGAGUUGUAAUUUGAAGAGGAAGUUUCGGUGCGACCUGGGCCUAAGUUCCUUGGAACAGGACGUCAUGGAGGGUGAGAAUCCCGUACAUGGCUGCAGGUUUGCUUCUAUGUGAAACUCCUUCGAAGAGUCGAGUUGUUUGGGAAUGCAGCUCAAAAUGGGUGGUAAAUUUCAUCUAAAGCUAAAUAUUGGCGGGAGACCGAUAGCGCACAAGUAGAGUGAUCGAAAGAUGAAAAGCACUUUGAAAAGAGAGUUAAACAGUACGUGAAAUUGUUGAAAGGGAAGCGCUUGCAAUCAGACUCGCCUUCAGUUGAUCAGCCUUCCUUCUGGUUGGUGCACUCUGCUGUUGGCGGGCCAGCAUCGGUUGGGGCGGUGGGACAAAGACGGUGGGAAUGUGGCUCGCUUCGGCGAGUGUUAUAGCCCUCCGUGUCAUGCCGCCAGCCCCGACCGAGGUCCGCGGUUCGCCUAGGAUGCUGGCUUAAUGGUUGUAAGCGACCCGUCUUGAAACACGGACCAAGGAGUCUAACAUCUAUGCGAGUCUUUGGGUGUCAAACCCAUGGGCGGAAUGAAAGUGAACGGAGGUGGGAGUCCUCGGAUGCACCAUCGACCGAUCCUGAUGUUCUCGGAUGGAUUUGAGUAUGAGCAUAGCUGUUGGGACCCGAAAGAUGGUGAACUAUGCCUGAAUAGGGUGAAGCCAGAGGAAACUCUGGUGGAGGCUCGCAGCGGUUCUGACGUGCAAAUCGAUCGUCAAAUUUGGGUAUAGGGGCGAAAGACUAAUCGAACCAUCUAGUAGCUGGUUCCA